AAGCUCCCCCCUGACUCAAGAGAGCACACUUCCUCUUUCCGAGGAAGACUGUAUUUCCUCGGGUAAGCUGAAACACCGAGGAGGUCUCACCGGAGCAGAGCUGAGCUGUCUAGUUGGAGAGGAGCCUGGCUCAAGGGCUGCCUCACAGCUGUGCUGUAUAACAAUUGAACUCUUUGACACUGAAUGAAGUUUCCUUUUUCAGUGCACACCAAAUUGGGGAUUCCUGUUGGUGCUGAAUUGGUACCGAGGACUAUGGGUUGACAAGGGACCCUUGGAGCAACCAAUCAGCGCAUUCCAAUUAGGUGGGAAAUUCCUGUGUGCUGUAUAACAUGUUGAAGAUUUCUUUUGACGUGCAACAAUAGAAAUUAAAUUAAGGAGCACAGCAUCCUCUGCACUGCGCCUCCUCAUCCGGGAAAGCCUUUCCCUUCGGGGUGGAGAACUCCCUCUGGGCCCCCGGGACAGACCAUGUCAGCUGCACAGUAAAAAACAAGAAUGUGGCAUUCCCUGCAAAGAAAGAAAAUGCAUUCUGAUAUUGCAUCUCAACUCUCCUGUAAAAUAUGCCCAAUUUGUUCAAAACAAUGGAAGGGGGAAAUUUGGACCCAGAGUUCACAUACCGAGAUGGCGAUGUGACUGAAGAUCACCAUCUACAAGCCAGGAAGAGAAGCCUGGGACAGACCUUCCCCUCAAAACCCUCAGAAGGAACCAGCCCUGCCAACACUUAGAUUUGAGACUUCUAGCCUCAAGAACUGUGAGACAAUAAACUUCUA